rnacentral:lncRNA from 1 species
CUCUCUUUGCCUGCCACCCUGUAAGAUAUGACUUGCUCCUCCUUGCCUUCCACCCUGUUUGUGAGGCUUCCCUGGUCACAUGGAACUUUGCUUGUUGCAUGCCUUCUAAACAGCCUACCCUGCCAAGUGCCAUGAUUACUGUGACCACAUCUUCAGAACCAGAAAACAGGAUACCUGGCCCUAAGCAUGCACUCAUGGAGCAGAAGAGUUUUAAAUCUGGAAUGCCACAGAAGACAGAAGAUAACAUGCUUACUACACUUGUAAAGCAACAUGCAGCCAGCCAUUUCCAGUGCAAAUUAUCUCAUUGCAUAGUGUGACAACUAAAGCCCUGUGGCAAUGGCAAAGAAAGUGAGGCUAUGAGGCAAAGGGACAUGCAGCAACUCCC